rnacentral:rRNA from 1 species
UGGGGAAUAUUGCACAAUGGGCGCAAGCCUGAUGCAGCCAUGCCGCGUGUGUGAAGAAGGCCUUCGGGUUGUAAAGCACUUUCAGCGGGGAGGAAGGCGAUAAGGUUAAUAACCUCAUCGAUUGACGUUACCCGCAGAAGAAGCACCGGCUAACUCCGUGCCAGCAGCCGCGGUAAUACGGAGGGUGCAAGCGUUAAUCGGAAUUACUGGGCGUACAGCGCACGCAGUCGGUCUGUCAAGUCGGAUGUGAAAUCCCCGGGCUCAACCUGGGAACUGCAUUCGAAACUGGCAGGCUAGAGUCUUGUAGAGGGGGGUAGAAUUCCAGGUGUAGCGGUGAAAUGCGUAGAGAUCUGGAGGAAUACCGGUGGCGAAGGCGGCCCCCUGGACAAAGACUGACGCUCAGGUGCGAAAGCGUGGGGAGCAAACAGG